ensembl:snoRNA
CAUCUGUGAUGAUCCUAUCCCGAACCUGAUUUAUUUGAUGAAAAACCUACCACGGAUCCGGCAUCUGAGAU